rnacentral:rRNA from 1 species
AGAGUUUGAUCCUGGCUCAGGAUGAACGCUAGCGGCAGGCUUAACACAUGCAAGUCGAGGGGUAACAGGGACUGCUUGCAGUCCGCUGACGACCGGCGCACGGGUGCGUAACGCGUAUGCAACUUACCCUUUACUGGAGGAUAGCCCGGAGAAAUUCGGAUUAAUACUCCAUGGUAUCUUAAAAUGGCCUCAUUUAAAGAUUAAAGGUAACGGUAAAGGAUGGGCAUGCGUCCUAUUAGCUAGUUGGUGAGGUAAAGGCUCACCAAGGCGACGAUAGGUAGGGGGCCUGAGAGGGUUAUCCCCCACACUGGUACUGAGACACGGACCAGACUCCUACGGGAGGCAGCAGUGAGGAAUAUUGGACAAUGGAGGCAACUCUGAUCCAGCCAUGCCGCGUGCAGGAAGACGGUCCUCAGGAUUGUAAACUGCUUUUUUAAGGGAAUAAACCUCCGUACGUGUACGGGGCUGAAUGUACCUUAGGAAUAAGCACCGGCUAACUCCGUGCCAGCAGCCGCGGUAAUACGGAGGGUGCAAGCGUUAUCCGGAAUCAUUGGGUUUAAAGGGUGCGUAGGCGGGCAGAUAAGUCAGUGGUGAAAUCCCAUCGCUUAACGAUGGAACUGCCAUUGAUACUGUUUGUCUUGAAUUCGGUUAGAGUGGGCGGAAUGUGUAGUGUAGCGGUGAAAUGC